rnacentral:rRNA from 1 species
UACGUAGGGCGCAAGCGUUGUCCGGAAUUAUUGGGCGUAAAGAGCUCGUAGGCGGCCUGUUGCGUCCGCUGUGAAAAUCCCGGGGCUCAACCCCGGGCGUGCAGUGGAUACGGGCUGGCUGGAGGCAGGCAGGGGAGAACGGAAUCCUGGUGUAGCGGUGAAAUGCGCAGAUAUCAGGAGGAACACCGGUGGCGAAGGCGGCGACCUGGACGGACACUGACGCUGGAGACGCGAAAGCGUGGGGAGCAAACAGG